rnacentral:rRNA from 1 species
UACAGAGGGGGCAAGCGUUGUUCGGAAUUACUGGGCGUAAAGCGUGCGUAGGCGGUUUGUUAAGUCUGUCGUGAAAGCCCUGGGCUCAACCUGGGAAUUGCGAUGGAUACUGGCAAGCUAGAGUACGGUAGAGGAUGGUGGAAUUCCCGGUGUAGCGGUGAAAUGCGUAGAGAUCGGGAGGAACACCCGUGGCGAAGGCGGCCAUCUGGACCAGUACUGACGCUGAGGCACGAAAGCGUGGGGAGCAAACAGG